rnacentral:rRNA from 1 species
GGGUUGUGAGGUUAAGCGACUAAGCGUACACGGUGGAUGCCCUGGCAGUCAGAGGCGAUGAAGGACGUGCUAAUCUGCGAUAAGCGUCGGUAAGGUGAUAUGAACCGUUAUAACCGGCGAUUUCCGAAUGGGGAAACCCAGUGUGAUUCGUCACACUAUCAUUAACUGAAUCCAUAGGUUAAUGAGGCGAACCGGGGGAACUGAAACAUCUAAGUACCCCGAGGAAAAGAAAUCAACCGAGAUUCCCCCAGUAGCGGCGAGCGGACGGGGAGCAGCCCAGAGCCUGAAUCAGUGUGUGUGUUAGUGGAAGCGUCUGGAAAGGCGUGCGAUACAGGGUGACAGCCCCGUACACAAAAAUGCACAUAUUGUGAGCUUGAUGAGUAGGGCGGGACACGUGGUAUCCUGUCUGAAUAUGGGGGGACCAUCCUCCAAGGCUAAAUACUCCUGACUGACCGAUAGUGAACCAGUACCGUGAGGGAAAGGCGAAAAGAACCCCGGCGAGGGGAGUGAAAAAGAACCUGAAACCGUGUACGUACAAGCAGUGGGAGCACGCUUAGGCGUGUGACUGCGUACCUUUUGUAUAAUGGGUCAGCGACUUAUAUUCUGUAGCAAGGUUAACCGAAUAGGGGAGCCGAAGGGAAACCGAGUCUUAACUGGGCGUUAAGUUGCAGGGUAUAGACCCGAAACCCGGUGAUCUAGCCAUGGGCAGGUUGAAGGUUGGGUAACACUAACUGGAGGACCGAACCGACUAAUGUUGAAAAAUUAGCGGAUGACUUGUGGCUGGGGGUGAAAGGCCAAUCAAACCGGGAGAUAGCUGGUUCUCCCCGAAAGCUAUUUAGGUAGCGCCUCGUGAAUUCAUCUCCGGGGGUAGAGCACUGUUUCGGCAAGGGGGUCAUCCCGACUUACCAACCCGAUGCAAACUGCGAAUACCGGAGAA